GACGAACGCUGGCGGCGUGGAUUAGGCAUGCAAGUCGAACGGUAUCAUCCUUUCGGGGGUGAGAGAGUGGCGAACUGGUGAGUAACACGUAGGUUAUCUACCCUCAAGACGGGGACAACCCAGGGAAACUUGGGCUAAUACCGGAUGUGAGCAACUUUUAGUUGUUUGAAAGGUGGCGUAAGCUGUCGCUUGGGGAUGAGCCUGCGUCCUAUUAGUUAGUUGGUGAGGUAACGGCUCACCUAGGCAAUGAUAGGUAGGCGGCCUUAACGGGUGGUCGCCCACACUGGGAUUGAGAUACGGCCCAGACUCCUACGGGAGGCAGCAGUCGAGAAUAGUCUACAAUGGUCGGAAGACUGAUAGUGCGACGCCGCGUGAACGAUGAAUCCCUUCGGGGUGUAAAGUUCUUUUAUAUGUGAGCAGUGCUUCUUAUAUUAACAGUAUGGGGAAGAGAUAUUAGCAUAUGAAUAAGCAACGGCUAACUCCGUAGCCAGCAAGCCGCGGU
rnacentral:rRNA from 1 species